GUGCGUCCGCCUCAGCCGGAGUGCGGGCCAGGAAUGUGACCAGCUUCGGGCUGGCUCUUCCAAGAACGCGCGCUCCCCCUCCCGGGCUCGGUGGCACUCGGCUACGCCCGACCGGUACUCGGCCAAGAUCGGCUUCCUCCGCCCACAGCUCGACUCCGCUCGCGUCCCCCGGGCCGGAGCUCGGCUCCGCUCGGCCCCGCUCGGCCCCGCUCGGCCCCGCUCGGCCCCGCUCGGCUCUACUCGGUCCCUCUCGGCUCCGCCUUGUGAAGGCCGCUGGAGGCGGCCGCAGCGGAGGCGCCUGGGGCCCCCCUUCCGGCCGAGGCCGUUUCCUGCGCGGCUGGGAAGUCUCCGGUCCUGCCGCCACCACGGUCUUGGGGCCCCCUGAAACCCACAAGGCCCCUACCACAACCGCAGGCCAGCUGAGUGGCGGUCCGCAGUAGAUCUGCGCCGCUAACGCCUUACGUCCCGGGGUCCCCAUUCUACGGAGAUACUACUGGGCGUCGUUCUCCACAGGACCGGGACGCCACGAGACACCCCAGAGGUGCACUCAUAAAAAAGGACAACACGAAACAGACCCCGGGUGCCCUCAUGAUAGGGAUGCCACAAAACAUUGGGGUCUAGAUACAAGAGCGUCUCAAAGCUCCCUAGGGCACCACAACACACAUUUCAGGCCCCUGCGUAAGGACACCACGAAAUACUCAGGACAGGCUGUCCUUAUGAUGAGAAGAUACGAAAAAAAAAAAAAUCCAGGUGCCCACACAACCUGAGCCUUGCAAAGAACCACCCAAGAUCUCCGGUGCAGAGGGACUGCCAAAAGCACAUCUGGGUUUCCAUGUGUAGUACUGAUGCCACCUAAUACACAGAGCUCCACAACCAAGCGCCACACACAGCUAGAAUUGCAGAACCUAGAAGCUCACAUCACUGCAUGACCUACGGAUGCCAACAUGCAGAGGAGGCACACCUAUGGACAGACAACAUCGACCACCCCGAGAACGGUGACAACCACCGGCAGUAGCUCCCGUCUACCUGGGCCCUGUUCUGUGAGGUGGGGACUUUGGGACAUAAUUCUGCAUUGAAGAAGCUGUGUCUAACAGCUGUUGCCCCUUCUUGAACCACCCAUUAGCCAGUAGCUUGGGCAACAGAUUCUUGUGACUCUCAUGCUGGAAGCUGCUGUGACCCUUACCCCUCCUCCAGCCUCCAGGACCAAGGAGCAAAUAUCCAUCUGUACAUACAUCAUCAGGUACCCAGAUCAUGGCCAAAGUAUGAUACCACGGCCUGCCCUUCAAUGUCCUGGCUGCACAAUGGGAUCAACGUAAGACAGUCUUUUGCCGAGCGAGCGAGCGACACUCAAAGUAGCUAACAUAGAGCAGAAGCCCAGGCACAGAACCUGAAGGACAGUGUCCGCCAAGAAGUUGGAAAUCAGCCAGGCAGGCAUUGGUGGCGCACGCCUUUAAUCCCAGCACUCAGGAAGCAGAGGCAGGCGGAUCUCUGUGAGUUCAAGACCAGCCUGGACUACAGAGCGAGUUCCAGGAAGCCUCCAAAACAAUACAGAGAAACCCUGUCUCGAAGAACAAAAAAUAAAAUAAAAUAAAAGAAGUGGGAAAUCCCACCCCCAAAGACCCGGACCUCAAACUUUCCUGGGCACAGGCCUUUCCUGGUUGGUGAAAGAGAGAAGGCUAUGCACAGGCAGCCUGGGUUACCUUUGGCUUGUGACCUGUUUCUCACCUCCUGGCUGUUCUGGCCCAUUACACAGCCAUGCUAUGGUCCAGGCCGCGCCAUAUGGGUAAACGGAGCACCAAGGCCACGGACACAGCCAUGUUGGGUGAAGUACUGGAGGCUUGGUGCCUGCCUAAAAGACCCCCCAGGAUGCAGGCGGAGGCAAGGACCAAUUGCACCAGGCCCAUGCAGCUCACUGCCUGGACCUCCUCAAACUAGAGUUUUUGGACUUCCGGUCGACUUCUGGAUGCCCACACACGCUGAUCUCCCUCUAACAAGAGUCAGCAGCAAGGGCCUGGGACUGGUGGGAAGGAGACAAAGUUCUGACCCGAGUGGCUUCCUUCCAUUGUUGUGUGAGAGACUAACAACGGAGGAGGGACCGGCCUGCCCAGAUAGAUGAGGGCCUGAGGAGCAGAGGUGGAAAUGGGUUUAGACAGAGAAGACUUCCCAGGGGCCAGAUUCCUGGGAGUGAGAAGCAAGCGGCUUGGAGACUGGCUGACAGCCACAGGAUCAGAGAGAGUCCCAGUGUGCUCCUAUCCUAAGGGGGCUUAGACCCAGCAGGGGGAAAUGCUCUGUGAGAGCCAGGACAACAGCUCCAAAAACAUCUUCCCAUUCAAAACCCAGAUCUUCAGGGCAGGGCAAAGCUCCUGGCCCCGACCCUACUACCCCUCCUUGGGAUGGGAAAAGAUCUGUAGCACCCUGGCAUAAACUGCCAAUCGUAAAUUGUUACUGUUUCAAACCCUUGAAUGUGACCAGGUGUGGUAGCUCUCGGACAUAAUCCUAGCACUUGGAAGCUUGAGAGUUGAGGAGCCACUAGUUGAGAUUCAGACUAGCAUAGGGGCUACAGAAGAAGAUUCUGCUCCAAAACAAACAAAUAAAAUCAUUCAGCGUGAAGAAGGAAAAAAAAUUAGUAGCAGGAGUGAAAGAUUUCGGUCUAGUUUAGGCUCCACUAAAAACAGACCCAAGAUAGAUUUGAGAUUAGUGCACGCCUUUAAUCCCAGCACUCAGGAGGCAGAGGCAGGGGGAUCUGAGUUCCAGGCCAGCCUGGUCCACAGAGGAAAUUGCAGGACAGCCAGGGCUACACAGAGAAACCCUGUCUGGGAUGGGGCAGAUCUGAGUGUAACUCAUUUGUUUAGGAGGCCAUUCCAGGAUUCAAGGUUAUGGGGCAAAGCGUUUAGCUUUUGGACAACAGCAGCAGAGCCAUCCCUGGGACAGCCACCCAGAAGACAGAGACCCAAGGCUGAGGGACAUGCCCAGGACUAGAGAGACUAAUUCUGUACUGCAAAUGUAUAAGGAGAACCAAGGCCAGUUUCUCACUAUUAGAAAUAGGCAUUAUUCUUAAUAGGAAAAGGGGUGACUGGGAAGAUGACUCAGUUAUAAGGAGCUUGAUAUAUAAACAUAAGAACCUGGAUUUAGGCUGGGUGGUGGUGGCACAUGCCUUUGAUUCCAGCACUCAGAAGGCAGAGGCCAGCCUGAUCUACAGAGCCAGUUCCAGGACAGCCAAGGCUACAUGGAGAAACUCUGCUUUGAAAAAAAAAACAAAAACAAAACAACAAAAAAGAGCUGGAAUUCAGAUCCUUACUACCCAUCGUAAAAAAAAAAAAAACCAGCCAUACUAGUACACACCUGUAAUCCCAGCGCUGGAGAAGUAGACACAGGAGGAGCCCCAGGGCUUGCCGGAAGCUGGCAAGAUGUUUUAGCAGGUAAAAACACUUGCCCCUAAGCUUGACGAUCUUAGUUAGAUUCUUAGAGUCCCACAAAGUAGGAGAGAGCUGACUCCACAAGUUGUCACUUAACCCGUCCCCUACUGUGGUAGCAUGGAUCUACUGGCGGUAUGCACACUCACUAAUAAACAUUUUAAA